GUGGGGAAUUUUGGACAAUGGGCGAAAGCCUGAUCCAGCAAUGCCGCGUGCAGGAUGAAGGCCCUCGGGUUGUAAACUGCUUUUGUACGGAACGAAAAGCCUGGGGCUAAUAUCCCCGGGUCAUGACGGUACCGUAAGAAUAAGCACCGGCUAACUACGUGCCAGCAGCCGCGGUAAUACGUAGGGUGCAAGCGUUAAUCGGAAUUACUGGGCGUAAAGCGUGCGCAGGCGGUUUUGUAAGACAGUGGUGAAAUCCCCGGGCUCAACCUGGGAACUGCCAUUGUGACUGCAAAGCUAGAGUGCGGCAGAGGGGGAUGGAAUUCCGCGUGUAGCAGUGAAAUGCGUAGAUAUGCGGAGGAACACCGAUGGCGAAGGCAAUCCCCUGGGCCUGCACUGACGCUCAUGCACGAAAGCGUGGGGAGCAAACAGGAUUAGAAACCCUGGUAGUCC
rnacentral:rRNA from 1 species